CGUAAGGCUCAGCCUGGCUUAAUGGAGCCGUGUCUGUGCUGUGCCUCUAAGCCUGCAUUUGGCAAGGGGGCUGCAGCUGCUCCUGCGCCCGGUGCGGGGAGGACGCAGCCGUGUUUGCUUAAGGUUUUUGGUUGGACUCAUCUGAAAUGGUGCUGUUCCCCAUCCUCCGAGUAAAACAAAUGCCUUGCUAUUUUCACCUGGGAUGAGGCUGCCUGUACGCCUUACUCCAGGCUGGCAGCAUCCUCUGCCGGCCCCAGAUGGCCUUCGCUGCACCAGCGCUGGCACGGUCUUCAGUUCCGGCCAUUGCACCUCAGCCUACCUGAAACACUGCUGCUUAAACGGGGGGAAAAGACGGGCGUCUGGCUGUGUCUCACAAACAUGGAAAUGUAAGCAAACAUCAUUUCCUUGAGGGCGGUAAUACCCUGUGCUCUCCAGCAAACCAGCUCUGAGCCCUGAAAACCUCAUGAAGUCUGGCUAUGAAAGAGAAUGAGACACUCGUCU